rnacentral:rRNA from 1 species
GACGAACGCUGGCGGCGUGCUUAACACAUGCAAGUCGAACGCUGAAGCUCAGCUUUUGUUGGGUGGAUGAGUGGCGAACGGGUGAGUAACACGUGAGUAACCUGCCCCCUUCUUUGGGAUAACGCCCGGAAACGGGUGCUAAUACUGGAUAUUCACUGGUCCUCGCAUGGGGGUUGGUGGAAAGGGUUUUUCUGGUGGGGGAUGGGCUCGCGGCCUAUCAGCUUGUUGGUGGGGUGAUGGCCUACCAAGGCUUUGACGGGUAGCCGGCCUGAGAGGGUGACCGGUCACAUUGGGACUGAGAUACGGCCCAGACUCCUACGGGAGGCAGCAGUGGGGAAUAUUGCACAAUGGGCGCAAGCCUGAUGCAGCGACGCCGCGUGAGGGAUGGAGGCCUUCGGGUUGUGAACCUCUUUCGCUCAUGGUCAAGCCGCAACAAUGGUUGUGGUGAGGGUAGUGGGUAAAGAAGCGCCGGCUAACUACGUG